rnacentral:rRNA from 1 species
GACGAACGCUGGCGGCGUGCCUAAUACAUGCAAGUAGAACGCUGAAGAGAGGAGCUUGCUCUUCUUGGAUGAGUUGCGAACGGGUGAGUAACGCGUAGGUAACCUGCCUUGUAGCGGGGGAUAACUAUUGGAAACGAUAGCUAAUACCGCAUAACAAUGGAUGACACAUGUCAUUUAUUUGAAAGGGGCAAUUGCUCCACUACAAGAUGGACCUGCGUUGUAUUAGCUAGUAGGUGAGGUAACGGCUCACCUAGGCGACGAUACAUAGCCGACCUGAGAGGGUGAUCGGCCACACUGGGACUGAGACACGGCCCAGACUCCUACGGGAGGCAGCAGUAGGGAAUCUUCGGCAAUGGGGGCAACCCUGACCGAGCAACGCCGCGUGAGUGAAGAAGGUUUUCGGAUCGUAAAGCUCUGUUGUAAGUCAAGAACGAGUGUGAGAGUGGAAAGUUCACACUGUGACGGUAGCUUACCAGAAAGGGACGGCUAACUACGUGCCAGCAGCCGCGGUAAUACGUAGGUCCCGAGCGUUGUCCGGAUUUAUUGGGCGUAAAGCGAGCGCAGGCGGUUUGAUAAGUCUGAAGUUAAAGGCUGUGGCUCAACCAUAGUUCGCUUUGGAAACUGUCAAACUUGAGUGCAGAAGAGGAGAGUGGAAUUCCAUGUGUAGCGGUGAAAUGCGUAGAUAUAGGGAGGAACACCGGUGCCGAAAGCGGCUCUCUGGUCUGUAACUGACGCUGAGGCUCGAAAGCGUGGGGAGCGAACAGGAUUCCAUACCCUGGUAGUCCAC